AAUAACCAAAUAUUAUACUUGGACUCAGGGUCAAGUUGGUAAUUUUUCUUACAUCUCCCCCUCCUGGGGCCCAGGUAUCAUAUACACCUCCAAAAUAAAGGGCCUUGAACACUAGAAGAAAAGCACCUAGACCUAACAAGAUUAAGUGAAUACCUAAAAUUGUGGUCAUUUUAUUUCUAUCUUUCCA
rfam:Ipomoea nil DNA, scaffold: scaffold2821, cultivar: Tokyo-kokei standard.